rnacentral:rRNA from 1 species
UACAGAGGUCUCAAGCGUUGUUCGGAUUCAUUGGGCGUAAAGGGUGCGUAGGUGGCGCGCUAAGUCAGGUGUGAAAUUUCGGAGCUUAACUCCGAAACUGCAUUUGAUACUGGCGUGCUUGAGGACUGGAGAGGAGACUGGAAUUCAUGGUGUAGCAGUGAAAUGCGUAGAGAUCAUGAGGAAGACCAGUGGCGAAGGCGGGUCUCUGGACAGUUCCUGACACUGAGGCACGAAGGCCCAGGGGAGCAAAACGGG